CAGUCGAACGAAACUUCUUUAUCACCGAGAGCUUGCACUCACCGAUAAAGAGUUGAGUGGCGAACGGGUGAGUAACACGUGGGCAACCUGCCCAAAAGAGGGGGAUAACACUUGGAAACAGGUGCUAAUACCGCAUAACCAUAGUUACCGCAUGGUAACUAUGUAAAAGGUGGCUAUGCUACCGCUUUUGGAUGGGCCCGCGGCGCAUUAGCUAGUUGGUGGGGUAAAGGCUUACCAAGGCAAUGAUGCGUAGCCGAACUGAGAGGUUGAUCGGCCACAUUGGGACUGAGACACGGCCCAAACUCCUACGGGAGGCAGCAGUAGGGAAUCUUCCACAAUGGGCGAAAGCCUGAUGGAGCAACGCCGCGUGGGUGAAGAAGGUCUUCGGAUCGUAAAACCCUGUUGUUAGAGAAGAAAGUGCGUGAGAGUAACUGUUCACGUUUCGACGGUAUCUAACCAGAAAGCCACGGCUAACUACGUGCCAGCAGCCGCGGUAAUACGUAGGUGGCAAGCGUUAUCCGGAUUUAUUGGGCGUAAAGGGAACGCAGGCGGUCUUUUAAGUCUGAUGUGAAAGCCUUCGGCUUAACCGGAGUAGUGCAUUGGAAACUGGGAGACUUGAGUGCAGAAGAGGAGAGUGGAACUCCAUGUGUAGCGGUGAAAUGCGUAGAUAUAUGGAAGAACACCAGUGGCGAAAGCGGCUCUCUGGUCUGUAACUGACGCUGA
rnacentral:rRNA from 2 species